UACGGAGGGGGCUAGCGUUAUUCGGAAUUAUUGGGCGUAAAGGGCGCGUAGGCGGCCCGGUAAGUCAAAGGUGAAAUCCCUCGGCUCAACUGAGGAACUGCCUUUGAAACUGUCGGGCUUGAGGCCGGGAGGGGGUAGCGGAAUUCCCAGUGUAGCGGUGAAAUGCGUAGAUAUUGGGAGGAACACCGGUGGCGAAGGCGGCUACCUGGGCCGGUUCUGACGCUGAUGCGCGAAAGCGUGGGUAGCAAACAGG
rnacentral:rRNA from 1 species